CCUACGGGUGGCAGCAGUGAGGAAUAUUGGUCAAUGGACGAGAGUCUGAACCAGCCAAGUAGCGUGAAGGAUGACUGCCCUAUGGGUUGUAAACUUCUUUUAUAUGGGAAUAAAACGUUCCACGUGUGGGAUUUUGUAUGUACCAUAUGAAUAAGGAUCGGCUAACUCCGUGCCAGCAGCCGCGGUAAUACGGAGGCUCCGAGCGUUAUCCGGAUUUAUUGGGUUUAAAGGGAGCGUAGGUGGAUUGUUAAGUCAGUUGUGAAAGUUUGCGGCUCAACCGUAAAAUUGCAGUUGAAACUGGCAGUCUUGAGUACAGUAGAGGUGGGCGGAAUUCGUGGUGUAGCGGUGAAAUGCUUAGAUAUCACGAAGAACUCCGAUUGCGAAGGCAGUUCACUGGACUGCAACUGACACUGAGGCUCGAAGGUGUGGGUAUCAAACAGGAUUAGAUACCCCAGUAGUC
rnacentral:rRNA from 1 species